rnacentral:rRNA from 1 species
CCUACGGGGGGCAGCAGUGGGGAAUAUUGCACAAUGGGGGAAACCCUGAUGCAGCAACGCCGCGUGAGUGAAGAAGUAUUUCGGUAUGUAAAGCUCUAUCAGCAGGGAAGAGAAUGACGGUACCUGACUAAGAAGCCCCGGCUAACUACGUGCCAGCAGCCGCGGUAAUACGUAGGGGGCGAGCGUUAUCCGGAUUUACUGGGUGUAAAGGGAGCGUAGACGGUAUGGCAAGUCUGAUGUGAAAACCCGGGGCUCAACCUCGGGACUGCAUUGGAAACUGUCGGACUAGAGUGUCGGAGAGGCAG